AUUGAACGCUGGCGGCAUGCUUUACACAUGCAAGUCGAACGGUAACAGGCCGCAAGGUGCUGACGAGUGGCGUACGGGGGAGUAAUGCAUCGGAACGUGCCCAGUCGUGGGGGGUAACUACUCGUAAGAGUAGCUAAUACCUCAUACGAUCUAUGGAUGAGAGCGGGGGACCGUAAGGCUUCGCUCGGUUGGUGCGGCCGAUGUCAGAUUAGGUAGGUGGUGAGGUAUAGGUUCACCAAGCCAACGAUCUGUAGCUGUUCUGAGAGGAAGAGCAGCCACACUGGGACUGAGACACGGCCCAGACUCCUACGGGAGGCAGCAGUGGGGAAUUUUGGACAGUGGGCGCAAGCCUGAUCCAGCAAUGCGGCGUGCAGGAAGAAGGCCUUCGGGUGGUAAACUGCUUUUGUACGGAACGAAACGGCUCUGGUUAAUACCCGGGGAUAAUGACGGUACCGGAAGAAUAAGCACCGGCUAACUACGUG
rnacentral:rRNA from 1 species